UGAAAGAAUAAAAUGGGGUUUUCCAAUGAGACGGGAAAUUCACAUCAGUCGAGACUAGUUUUUAUAGUAACAAUUAAAUAAUAAAAUUUAAGCUCUAGAUCUUUACAAGUUAAGCAGAUUGUGUUUAUUGCGGGAGGCUUAGGCUCGCUGUGACAUCUGUUCACCAAACGUAGCCACGGUCACAGGAUGGGUGUAGUAAGACACAGAGGACAAGAUAGUAAGAUAAUGAGAUGGUUGUCCUUUGAAUAUUUUGACUAAAAGGUUUUUAACGAAGAGUACAGAGUUUGGUACUAGUUGAGUCAGUCAGUUCUGAUUGAGCAUUCGUUGUGCGAGUACAAGUUUUUCUGUCGACCGUGGACUCGUUCUCGAGCCUAGUUUACUGUAGUAUUUGUAAAUUAUUCGAUCAGGUUUUAUUUGAAUAUUAUUGGACUGUCGUGUAUUACAAUUAUUAUAAUUCCCUGCAGACCAUCGGGAUACUCGGGAUAACGCCCAAGCUCGUACUGACUUUCCGACAUAUGUAUAAAAAGUAAACUCACUCUGACAUGGUAUAGACAAGAAUUUUCGAAACAGCUUUACACGGGAAUGGACCAUAAAGUGUCGUUGGCUCUGAAGUAACAUCACUUCCAGGGCUCCAAAAUGCAUAGGAUCCAUCAUUGUGAGAUGAAACGAAUCUAUUCUCAGAUACCCAGUGAACUGACUCCAACUGCUGCGCUGAGAUGAAUGUCUGUGCACGGGAAAACAAACCCAUCAGCUGCACUCACAUGUUCGCCAAAUCCACCAGACACAAACAUUUUUUAUUACCUGCUGAGCACCUGGAGUCGCUUUGUUCCACAGUACCAUCAAUCCUCGGUUGUAACCAAUCAAGAUACUGUCUGGGUGUCCAGGUUGUUCGGCAAUGGCUUCAACUGCGCCAGGAUUCUUUUUGUAAUCUUCCGGAACGCUGGAAAUUAAAUGAAUUUAAAAAAAAUCCGAAAUUUUGAAGUUUUAAAAUAAAAAUCAAUUUUUGUUGUUGACAAUUGAAUGAAAUUUUGACCAUUGCAGAGAAAUUAAUCAUGUAAAUUUGAAUCUUCAUUGAAAUUUUAAAAAUUUCUCUUGAAAUCGAUCAGAAGACUUUUUUUAAAGAGCUUGGCAUUAAAAUGGAAAUAACUACAGAACAAUGAGGAAUUUUGAAAAACUUUAUCAGAGAUAAUUUGUAAGAAAUAAAAUUGUCUACAAAAAAGAUCCUAUGACAUUUUUUGAUAAGUCUGAUAGUUUCGCUGGAAAAGUAAAAAGAUCUCGAAAUUUACUAUAAAUUUGACUUCAAGCUCCGAUAACUUUUGAACAGAUGAAUUUAUCAAAAUAUGAUAAGAGACUUUUUUUGUAGAGCGCUUAAUUCCCUACGAAAUUGUAUCCUGAGCUCAUCUGUACAAUGAGCCAUUGCCCAGGCAUCUUAUUUCACCUCCAGCAACUAUUUAAUAGGGGGUGUCAAGAAAAACAAUAGUCGAUUUUUUUGAAUCAGUCUAAUGUGCAUACAUAUAAACUUUUGAACCGAUGGUAUUUUUGGACCCACUCGACGAAUCCCAAUUUAAAAAACAAAAAUAGCAGGGUGGCCACAAAAAAAUGAUUUCAAAAUUCCCUGAUAUUUCCCGGUUUUCCAGUAAAGUUUUUCACAUUUUUCCCUGAUUUAGAAAUUUUAUUCGUAUCAUUUAGAUAUUCAAAGUUUUUAUUAUAUUUUCAUUUUUAAUAAUUAAAUUUGAUAAUUAAGUCAUACGAGAAACCAUAAAAAAUGGCAAUAAAAUAAAUUAAUACUGCCUACUUUUGAUUAUUCGAUGUUAAUAAUGUAUAAGUUAAAAUAUUUAAUAAGAAAUUUUAUGAUUUAAAUAAAUUGAAAAUACACUGGUUACAAAAAUUAAGGGAUAUUAAAAAAAUUUCAAAUUUUUUAUUAAUUUUCAACAGUUUGUAACCCGAAGGAAAAUGGUCGUACAAUAAUAACAAAAAGUCACACUGCAGCUUCAAGUGUCUAGUUUUCUGAUCUGAGUCUUUAAAUUUUUUUAUUAUGCACGAUUCCGGAGCAAUCAAAAAUCAAUCAUAAUUAUCGAAAAAAAUUUAUUGAAGCUCGAAGACCGUUUUUAAGACGAGCAAAAAUUUUGUAAAUUUCUUUUUCGAUAGUUUUCUUAGGAUUACUCCGGAACUUUACAUAAUAAAAAAAUUUAAAGACCAGAUCAGAAAACUAGACACUUGAAGCUUCAAUUUGCCUUUUUUGUUUUUGUCGUAUGACCAUUUUCCUUCGAGUUACAACCUGUUGAAAAUCACUUCAAAAUUUGAAAUUUUUUAAAUAUCCCUUAAUUUUUAUAACUAGUGCAUAAUUUAAAAUUUUUUAAAUUUUCAACUGUUAAAAUUCAAUUCCCGGAUACUUUUCGAAAUUUCCUGACAUUUCCCGGUUGCAUUAAGUUCCCUGAUAAUUCCCGAUAUUCCCGGUUCGUGGCCACCCUGAAUAAAUUUCAAUGAAAUCUACUAAAAAGUGAGUAUUAAUUAUUCGAAGAAAAAUGAUUUAUUAAAUAAAUUGAUAACUUACUUUUGCA